UACGGAGGGUGCAAGCGUUGUCCGGAUUUAUUGGGUUUAAAGGGUGCGUAGGCGGCUUUUUAAGUCAGUGGUGAAAUCCAUCAGCUUAACUGAUGAAUUGCCAUUGAUACUGGAGAGCUUGAGUACAGACGAGGUAGGCGGAAUUUAUGGUGUAGCGGUGAAAUGCAUAGAUACCAUAAAGAACACCGAUUGCGAAGGCAGCUUACUAGGCUGUAACUGACGCUGAGGCACGAAAGUGUGGGGAUCAAACAGG
rnacentral:rRNA from 1 species